AAAAACACAAUAAUGUAUUAAGAAACAUUUUAUUAACAAAACAAUAAAUUCCACUUGCUUAGCAUUUCCAGUAAUGGAUAAAUUGGCCUUGCAACAAAAUAAAUUCAUUUUCAAUAUCUAUCACACAAACACAAUAAACUGGCUUUGGGCCUCUCGGUUUGAUUUUGGGGAUGACUCAUCUCACACUUUUGAUUUUGUUGUAAAGGCAACACAUUACAGAAUUGGAAAUAAGCCACCUCAUCCAGACUAAGUACAGCAAAUAUACAGGAAAAAAAAGAAAAGGAAAAACCUGUUGCAGAAUAUAAAAUGUACCUACCCUUUCAAUGAAAGGGACCUGAAACGCAAUGCAUCAAAAUGCGUCAGUUGGAUCCUCAUUCUCUGAAAGGAUUAACGUGAUGACAUUAAGAUGCCAAAGCAAAAUUGCAUACAAACUGUGAAUUAAUAAUCCGAAAUAAAACCUGAAGCAAUGGUAAUACAAAUAAAUGCAAAAUUAUCAAAUUAAGGUAUAAAUGAUUAUUGGAGAUAUGAAGUGUUGGCAAAAUAGAUAUAUACAAAGAAACAUUAACAAUUGACACAUUGAUUACAU